AUUGAACGCUGGCGGCAGGCCUAACACAUGCAAGUCGAGCGAGUGGCGGACGGGUGAGUAAUGUCUGGGAAACUGCCUGAUGGAGGGGGAUAACUACUGGAAACGGUAGCUAAUACCGCAUACCAUCGGAUGUGCCCAGAUGGGAUUAGCUAGAAGGUGGGGUAAAGGCUCACCUAGGCGACAAUCCCUAGAUGGUCUGAGAGGAUGACCGGCCACACUGGAACGCAGACACGGUCCAGACACUUACGGGAGGCAGCAGCGGGGAAUAUAGCACAAUGGGCGCAAACAGGAUGCAGCCAUGCAGCGUGUAUGAAGAAGGACUUCGGGAUAUAAAGUACUUUCAGCGGGUGGGCGUGACCCGCAGAAGAAGCACCGGCUAACCCCGUGCCAGCAGCCGCGGUAAUUC
rnacentral:rRNA from 1 species